GACGAACCGUGCGAACGUUAUUCGGAAUCACUGGGCUUAAAGGGCGCGUAGGCGGGCCACCAAGUCAGGGGUGAAAUCCCACGGCUCAACCGUGGAAGUGCCCUUGAUACUGGUGGCCUCGAGGGAGGCAGGGGCGUGCGGAACUUUGGGUGGAGCGGUGAAAUGCGUAGAUAUCGCUUGGAACGCCGAAGGUGAAAACAGGCUGCUGGGGUUGCGCCGACGCUGAGACACGAAAGCCAGGGGAGCAAACGGG
rnacentral:rRNA from 1 species